CAAGAGUUUGCGGGCGGAGUCGGAUACCAUAAGAACUAAAUGUGUGGUGUACAAUAGGAGAGCCGGGUACGAAACUGUCCUUUACUAUUCUGUACCGGGGGACAGUACACGAAUCGGGUACCUACACCCAUUAGAUAAUAUUGAUUGAAAAGGGAAAUUAAAAGGCAAAAAAAAAAGAUGUCGGCAAAUAAAGAUGGAGACGGUGGAUGGAAGAGCUUUCUGUGGAAUUCGGAAAAGAAGGAAUUUCUAGGACGCACUGGUGGCAGUUGGUGUAAGUACAUAAAUCCGUAAUAAACUACUUUUAAUCGACGCUUUUUCUUGAAAUGAACUGGAGGAUAAGAACGAUAGGAGUUGUAGCCCUGUUGUUUCCGUGUAUUGUCAGAAUAAUGUAACGGCACAGAGAGUUCCUGAGUCGUUCUGUAUUUCCUGAUACAGCACCUGUUUGAUUGACCAUAGCGUGCUGUGUAGAGAUCAUUCACUCUUCAAUGGAAACAUGACAAAUCAAUUAAACGUGAUUUAUAAAAAACUCUUCUGUAAAAUAACCGUAUAACCUAUUGAUGGAAUACGAUUCAAAAUAAAUGUCAUGAAAAUUAGUUCUGUCUAAAAAAAAAAAAAAAUAAAAAAAAAAGGCAGUUGAAAUAUAUUCAGACUUUUAGGUCAAGUGAACGUUAAUAAUGUUCCUAUCCGUUAUUAUUCGUUUAAACCCGGGUCGAUCACGUACAACGAAAGCUAGACUCGGUGUCCUUUGCCAAAGAGGUCAUUUUGAAGGACAUCAUUUACAUGAUAUGGUGUUGGAUUGCAACUAACAUGUGCUUGUCUUGCCAUAAUGGCAUGCUUGUUUCUGCUGUCAGCCCAGAAUGGAAAACAUUGAUAAGAGUUGGUAAAUAUCAAUUACUUUAUUUCUCUGAACAAAAUAAUGUGCCAAAUGACAAUGGGGGACAUCCAUUACCUCGGUAAUUAGUAGUUUUAUCCCAAUACAGUUAGAUUUUUUUGGAAGGAAUCAGGGUUCAAGGUUAACAGUCAAGGUGAUCCGGCCUUUUUCCUCUGAAACUGAUGUCAUUAUUUUGGACCGACAGAAUAAUGUAAAAAAACGAAGCCAACAAUCAGCAUUGAUUUACCAAUGAGACACUUUCUUGUUCAACUGGUGAGCUUGCAACACUGUAACACACACGGUAUCUCUACAUUAUUAUUAUUUGUUUGCUCAGUAUUGGAGUGGGAGACUGUUGCAGUAGGUAGUUAGUUCAUCUACUGGCUACAUUUCGUUUUUUUUUUGUAUUUAUCUAGGCGCUUUCUCUACAUAGAAAGAUCAUGUCACGACUCACAUGCUCGGUUUGUCCAGGGCCACCCCUCCCCCACAGACAACUGUGUUUCUUUCAGCAGCUACUGGGGACAAUUUGUUACUUAAAUCAAUUAUACCGAGUUCACAUGGGUAGGGCGAUUAUUACGGUAGACUUUCACAAUCCGAGCACAAAUAAAGACAGAUUGAACGCUCUAGUAGGGGACACAGUCACCAUUUGUUUCCGGAAUGCUGGCCAGAUUAUUUUUGGUAAAGCAAAGAGCGCCUGUUCACUGAUACUUGUUGGUUUAUCUCUCGAAACAGUUGGCUGUUCUCUGAAUUCAUUUAUAGAAUUCAGAAGCUCGAUGAAAGUAACUUGGUACGUUUUGAAAAGUCCCAAGGUUUCUGGCGUGUUGCCUUUGUUUGCGUAGCCUACAUAUCGCGCACGGUAUUAUUAAGUGCACGUCGGCUCUCAUCGAUGUGGUUGUUACAGCCUGGUCUCAUACACUGUCAUUACAUAGUAAACGUAAAUCCGGGACUGUAAAAUUAGUAUGGCAUGUUUGAUAGGGUUGUAUAAGACAGAUGGUUUACUUGAGGUAAAAAAAAAAAACGGAAGUCGGAUGAGUGGGUGUAUAAAGCCAACGUCUAGUAACCGAAAGGUUGUGAGUUCGAAUCGCAUCACAGACAACUUUAGCAUUUUAUCUACUUACUACUUUUUUUUUUGUUGAAACUUUGCAACCAUUUAGCAUGUUAGCUAACACUUAACUCUUUAGCCUAACUCAAAAACCCCUAGCCGAGCUAGAAUUCGUAACAUAUAAUACAAAUCGUAUUUCGUAACAUAUCAUACGAAAUGGGUGAUAGACAUCCACAAAUUAAUACAUAAAAUAACACAGGAAAUUGAGUUUCCCCAGAUUUACGUACAGAAUAAUACAAAAAGCUCUGAGACCAGGUUGCAGCGGUUAUUGCUCAGGAUAAGCCUUCCGAUUGGCUGGGCUGGCUGUGCAGCAACCAUGUCAUUUUACCCCGCAUCAAAUCACAGUUGGUCGUCAUCACAAAAAGGUAGGAAUUAGCGACUACUGUAGGCUACAUUUGAUUCAGGUCUUCAUUUAGUGACACUUGUAUCCAAUGAUGGUGUAAUAACCCUUAUACUUACAGCUACCCAGUGCCUGUAGUCUUUUGAAAGGUAAGCGUAUACGGAACUAUUGCACGAAAUAGGACAAUUAUGAUAAUCUCAGCAAUCUCUGUGCUGUUUGCCUUGAGGAAUGUGAGAACGUGCCUGAGUUGUUCAUUCACAACACGAAGCCAUGCCUGCCUGACUGGUCUACCCUGCUGCUCUGGGGGGGGGGGGGAUAGACCGAGCUGAGAGAGAGAGAGAGAGAGGAGAGAGAAGAGAGAGAGAGAGACAGACAGAGAGAGAGACAGAGAGAGAGACAGAGAGAGAGAGAGAGACAGAGAGAGGUUAUCACAAGGACUGGAAGGCAUUCAACAAGUCUCCUAUUGGCCAAUUUGAUCACAUUUAUUACAAGAGAGCGAGAAAGACAUCGUGGUCUGGAAUUUAGCUUCCCCCCCCUGAGCUUCCACACAAUAUGCGGUCAUAGGUGUGUAAAGAAAUACACGGAUUUGAGAGACUAAUAAAUGAAUUGGACUUUGGAACAGAGCUAUAGGGCUCGCCAGCUUGUAGUCCCAAUGGCUCGUUGCUCAAAGCCUACGGGGGGAAAUUUAAUGCCGCUUUUGGAGGUGUUUUGGAUAACGCGGUCUGAGGCUAACAGGUUUCGGAGAUUUGACACGUUUUGUUCUAUGAGAUAAUAUCAGGCAGCGUGAUGAGAACGGCCCAUAGGGCAGGAGUCUAUCUCCUGUUUCUGUAGUGAGAGGCAGCUUGAUGAGACCGGCCCAUAGGGCAGGAGUCUAUCUCCUGUUUCUGUAGCGAGAGGCAGCGUGAUGAGAACGGCCCAUAGGGCAGGAGUCUACCUCCUGUUUCUGUAGUGAGAGGCAGCUUGAUGAGAACGGCCCAUAGGACAGGAGUCUAUCUCCUGUUUCUGUAGUGAGAGGCAGCUUGAUGAGAACGGCCCAUAGGGCAGGAGUCUAUCUCCUGAUUCUGUAGUGAGAGGCAGCUUGAUGAGAACGGCCCAUAGGGCAGGAGUCUAUCUCCUGUUUCUGUAGUGAGAGGCAGCGUGAUGAGAACGGCCCAUAGGGCAGGAGUCUAUCUCCUGUUUCUGUAGUGAGAGGCAGCUUGAUGAGAACGGCCCAUAGGGCAGGAGUCUACCUCCUGUUUCUGUAGUGAGAGGCAGCUUGAUGAGAACGGCCCAUAGGGCAGGAGUCUACCUCCUGUUUCUGUAGUGAGAGGCAGCUUGAUGAGAACGGCCCAUAGGGCAGGAGUCUACCUCCUGUUUCUGUAGUGAGAGGCAGCUUGAUGAGAACGGCCCAUAGGGCAGGAGUCUAUCUCCUGUUUCUGUAGUGAGAGGCAGCUUGAUGAGAACGGCCCAUAGGGCAGGAGUCUACCUCCUGUUUCUGUAGUGAGAGGCAGCUUGAUGUACAAGUACCACCUCUUGGACAGGAUGCUGGCCUAUCACAGGGCCUUAACCCCUGGACAGGACGCCAGCCUAUCACAGGGCCGUACCCCUGGACAGGACGCCGGCCUAUCACAGGGCCGUAUCCAGGACGCUUGCCCAUCACAGGGCCGUACCCAGGACGCUAGCCCAUCACAGGGCCGUACCCAGGACGCUAGCCCAUCACAGGGCCGUACCCAGGACGCUAGCCUAUCACAGGGCCUUAACCCCGAUCUUAUCUCCUUAAUGCUGAAUGUCAAGCGGAGACUUGUCAGGUUUUUCUUCGGUUUGACUCGACCAGAGAUUGAAUUCAUAACUUUCCAAUCUCAGGACACUGUAACCACAAGGCCACUGAGUUGGUCUAUGAGGCAGUUAAACAUGACCUUUAUGAAUUAUGAAGCCUUUAUGUGCUUGUUUGGAUUAUAUAAAGUGACGUUAGCUGAUCAAGAUGAUCCAAUAGAAUAAUGCAUCAGAACUCCUAAACCACAGACCUUAUUUUCAGUGUUUAUUCAUAAAAAACACACGUUUUGACCAAUGAGCCUCUGUUAAUAGAGCCCCACAGUGGAGGUGUCAUAAUACCCAUAAAACCUAGCGGUCAAACAAGGAAAUUAGAAACUUUAAAUAAGGUCUGUGUUUCGGGAAGGCUUACCAUGGCGUGAAGUUUUGAUAACCGUGUAAAUCUCUCUAGGACAAGGUGACUUUUAUCAAUAUAUUAGCCUGUAUUUACACUCAGUAAAAAAAAAAAAAUGCUAAUUAGCCUCAAAGAAGACAUCAUGCAAGACUUCAAAACCCUGCAUCUCAUCUCUAGCUGAUAUCUAACAGGUAUUGAUCCUACAGGUCUCCUCUAGCUGACACCUAACAGGUAUUGAUCCUGCAGGUCUCCUCUAGCUGAUAUCUAACAGGUAUUGAUCCUACAGGUCUCCUCUAGCUGAUAUCUAACAGGUAUUGAUCCUGCAGGUCUCCUCUAGCUGAUACCUAACAGGUAUUGAUCCUGCAGGUCUCCUCUAGCUGAUACCUUUUCUAACAGGUAUUGAUCCUGCAGGUCUCCUCUAGCUGAUAUCUAACAGGUAUUGAUCCUGCAGGUCUCCUCUAGCUGAUACCUUUACUAACAGGUAUUGUGUCAAUUUAAAACCUGCACAAGACAGUUAACAGAAUUGUCCGUUUAAAGAAAUCUAGACAAUUUCUUCAUUACUACAUUUAACUAACAUUAGAUAGUUGAUCCAGAGAUUCUGACCUUUGCCUCGAUUCGUCAGUCUCAUCCAGAUCAUCCAGAGCCGUACCUUCAGGCUCUGAUCAGGCCCUACACCCAAACAAGGGCACUGCGUUCAUCCACCUCUGGCCUGCUGGCCCCCCUACCUCUGAGGAAGCACAGUUCCCGCUCAGCCCAGUCAAAACUGUUCGCUGCUCUGGCACCCCAAUGGUGGAACAAGCUCCCUCACGACGCCAGGACAGCGGAGUCAAUCACCACCUUCCGGAGACACCCGAAACCCCACCUCUUUAAGGAAUACCUGGGAUAGGAUAAAGUAAUCCUUCUACCCCCCCUAAAAGAUUUAGAUGCACUAUUGUAAAGUGGUUGUUCCACUGGAUAUCAUAAGGUGAAUGCACCAAUUUGUAAGUCGCUCUGGAUAAGAGCGUCUGCUAAAUGACUUAAAUGUAAAUGUAAAUCAUCAUGGAAUUUGUAGUUCUUUAUGAUAUCCACAUUAGCAGCUAAUUAGCAUUUCAUUGGGGGGGAAAUUCAGGCUAAUAUAUUGAUAAAAGUCACCUUGUCCAAGAGAGAUUUACAUGGUUAUCAAAACGUCACGCCAUGGUAAGCCUACACGAAAUACAGCCCUUAUUUUAAGUGUUUCUAAAAUCCCCUACGGGGAAAAAUGACUGGUGGAAAAACGAUUGGAACCAUUUCCUUGUUUGACCGCUAGGUUUUAUGGGUAUUAUGACUCAUACUGUGGUACUCUAUGCCUACGAAAAUACAGCCAUGGUCACCUUCGAUGCAACUGGUUUGCAUCUCUCUGUCACCCCAGAGCUCACUGCCAUGGUUACCGCCAGUAAAUCAGUCUCUCUCUCUCCCUCUCACACACACCCAGACACUGUUGCACUAUGAAGUUAUUCUGCUCAAACAAUGCACUAGUAAAAGUGUUUCCUGUAGAUUGUUUAGUCACUGGAUGUUUAGUAAAGAACAGUAGAGUGGUGUAGAGAACAGUAGAAUGGUGUAGAGAACAGUAGAAUGGUGUAGAGUAGAGAACAGAGUGGUGUAGAGUAGAGAACAGUAGCGUAGAGUGGUGUAGAGAACAGUAGAGUAGAGAACAGUAGAGUGGUGUAGAGUAGAGAACAGUAGAGUGGUGUAGAGUAGAGAACAGUAGAGUGGGUAGAGUAGAGAACAGUAGAGUGGUGUAGAGUAGAGAACAGUAGAGUGGUGUAGAGUAGAGAACAGUAGAGUGGUGUAGUGUAGAGAACAGUAGAGUGGUGUAGAGUAGAGAACAGUAGAGUGGUGUGUAGAGAACAGUAGAGUGGUGUAGAGGAGAGACCAGUAGAGUGGUGUAGCGUAGAGAACAGUAGAGUGGUGUAGAGUAGAGAACAGUAGAGUGGUGUGGUGUAGAGUAGAGAACAGUAGAGUGGUGUAGAGUAGAGAACAGUAGAGUGGUGUAGAGUGGAGUGGUGUAGAAUACAGAACAGUAGAGUGGUGUAGAGAACAGUAGAGUGGUGUAGAGUAGAGAACAGUAGAGUGGUGUAGAGUAGAGAACAGUAGAGUGGUGUAGAGAACAGUAGAGGGGUGUAGAGUAGAGAACAGUAGAGUGGUGUAGAGUAGAGAACAGUAGAGUGGUGUAGAGUAGAGAACAGUAGAGUGGUGUAGAGUAGAGAACAGUAGAGUGGUGUAGAGUAGAGAACAGUAGAGUGGUGUAGAAUAGAGAACAGUAGAGUGGUGUAGAGUAGAGAACAGUAGAGUGGUGUAGAAUAGAGAACAGUAGAGUGGUGUAGAGUAGAGAACAGUAGAGUGGUGUAGAAUAGAGAACAGUAGAGUGGUGUAGAGAACAGUAGAGUGGUGUAGAGUGGUGUAGAGUAGAGAACAGUAGAGUGGUGUAGAGUAGAGAACAGUAGAGUGGUGUAGAAAACAGUAGAGUGGUGUAGAGUGGUGUAGAGUAGAGAACAGUAGAGUGGUGUAGAGUAGAGUGGUGUAGAGUAGAGAACAGUAGAGUGGUGUAGAGUAGCGAACAGUAGAGUGGUGUAGAGUAGAGAACAGUAGAGUGGUGUAGAGGAGAGAACAGUAGAGUGGUGUAGGAUAGAGAACAGUAGAGUAGAGAACAGUAGAAUGGUGUAGAAUAUGUUUAGGGGAGGGAAUGUUCUGUAGUAGUGUAUGUGUAGGGAUUGUUCUGUAGUAGUGUAUGUGAAGGGGAGGGAAAGUUCUGUAGUAGUGUAUGUGUAGGGGAGGGAAUGUUCUGUAGUAGUGUAUGUGUAGGGGAGGGAAUGUUCUGUAGUAGUGUAUGUGUAGGGGAGGGAAUGUUCUGUAGUAGUGUAUGUGUAGGGGAGGGAAUGUUCUGUAGUAGUGUAUGUGUAGGGGAGGGAAUGUUCUGUAGUAGUGUAUGUGUAGGGGAGGGAAUGUUCUGUAGUAGUGUAUGUGUAGGGAAUGUUCUGUAGUAGUGUAUGUGUAGGGAAUGUUCUGUAGUAGUGUAUGUGUAGGGAAUGUUCUGUAGUAGUGUAUGUGUAGGGGAGGGAAUGUUCUGUAGUAGUGUAUGUGUAGGGGAGGGAAUGUUCUGUAGUAGUGUAUGUGUAGGGGAGGGAAUGUUCUGUAGUAGUGUAUGUGUAGGGAAUGUUCUGUAGUAGUGUAUGUGUAGGGAAUGUUAUGUAGUAGUGUAUGUGUAGGGGAGGGAAUGUUCUGUAGUAGUGUAUGUGUAGGGGAGGGAAUGUUCUGUAGUAGUGUAUGUGUAGGGGAGGGAAUGUUCUGUAGUAGUGUAUGUGUAGGGAAUGUUCUGUAGUAGUGUAUGUGUAGGGGAGGGAAUGUUCUGUAGUAGUGUAUGUGUAGGGGAGGGAAUGUUCUGUAGUAGUGUAUGUGUAGGGGAGGGAAUGUUCUGUAAUAGUGUAUGUGUAGGGGAGGGAAUGUUCUGUAGUAGUGUAUCUGGAGGGGAGGGAAUGUUCUGUAGUAGUGUAUGUGUAGGGUAGGGAAUGUUCUGUAGUAGUGUAUGUGUAGGGGAGGGAAUGUUCUGUAGUAGUGUAUGUGGAGGGGAGGGAAUGUUCUGUAGUAGUGUAUGUGUAGGGGAGGGAAUGUUCUGUAGUAGUGUAUGUGUAGGGGAGGGAAUGUUCAGUAGUAGUGUAUGUGUUGGGGAGGGAAUGUUCUGUAGUAGUGUAUGUGUAGGGGAGGGAAUGUUCUGUAGUAGUGUAUGUGUAGGGAAUGUUCUGUAGUAGUGUAUGUGUAGGGGAGGGAAUGUUCUGUAGUAGUGUAUGUGUAGGGGAGGGAAUGUUCAGUAGUAGUGUAUGUGUUGGGGAGGGAAUGUUCUGUAGUAGUGUAUGUGAAGGGGAGGGAAUGUUCUGUAGUAGUGUAUGUGUAGGGGAGGGAAUGUUCUGUAGUAUGUGUAGGGGAGGGAAUGUUCUGUAGUAGUGUAUGUGUAGGGAAUGUUCUGUAGUAGUGUAUGUGUAGGGGAGGGAAUGUUCUGUAGUAGUGUAUGUGUAGGGGAGGGAAUGUUCAGUAGUAGUGUAUGUGUUGGGGAGGGAAUGUUCUGUACUAGUGUAUGUGAAGGGGAGGGAAUGUUCUGUAGUAGUGUAUGUGUAGGGGAAGGGAAUGUUCUGUAGUUUGUGUAGGGUAGGGAAUGUUCUGUAGUAGUGUAUGUGUAGGGGAGGGAAUGUUCUGUAGUAGUGUAUGUGUAGGGGAGGGAAUGUUCUGUAGUAGUGUAUGUGUAGGGGAGGGAAUGUUCUGUAGUAGUGUAUGUGUAGGGAAUGUUCUGUAGUAGUGUAUAUCUAGGGAAUGUUCUGUAGUAGUGUAUGUGUAGCGGAGGGAAUGUUCUGUAGUAGUGCAUGUGUAGGGGAGGGAAUGUUCUGUAGUAGUGUAUGUGUAGGGGAGGGAAUGUUCUGUAGUAGUGUAUGUGUAGGGGAGGCAAUGUUCAGUAGUAGUGUAUGUGUAGGGGAGGGAAUGUUCUGUAGUAGUGUAUGUGUAGGGGUGGCAAUGUUCAGUAGUAGUGUAUGUGUUGGGAAGGGAAUGUUCUGUAGUAGUGUAUGUGUAGGGGAGGGAAUGUUCUGUAGUAGUGUAUGUGUAGGGAAUGUUCUGUAGUAGUGUAUGUGUAGGGGAGGGAAUGUUCUGUAGUAGUGUAUGUGUAGGGGAGGGAAUGUUCUGUAGUAGUGUAUGUGUAGGGGAGGGAAUGUUCUGUAGUAGUGUAUGUGUAGGGGAGGGAAUGUUCUGUAGUAGUGUAUGUGUAGGGGAGGGAAUGUUCUGUAGUAGUGUAUGUGUAGGGAAUGUUCUGUAGUAGUGUAUGUGUAGGGAAUGUUAUGUAGUAGUGUAUGUGUAGGGGAGGGAAUGUUCUGUAGUAGUGUAUGUGUAGGGAAUGUUCUAUAGUAGUGUAUGUGUAGGGUAGGGAAUGUUCUGUAGUAGUGUAUGUGUAGGGAAUGUUCUGUAGUAGUGUAUGUGUAGGGGAGGGAAUGUUCUGUAGUAGUGUAUGUGUAGCGGAGGGAAUGUUCUGUAGUAGUGUAUGUGUAGGGGAGGGAAUGUUCUGUAGUAUUGUAUGUGUAGGGAAUGUUCUCUAGUAGUGUAUGUGUAGGGGAGGAGAUGUUCUAUAGUAGUGUAUGUGUAGGGUAGGGAAUGUUCUGUAGUAGUGUAUGUGUAGGGUAGGGAAUGUUCUGUCGUAGUGUAUGUGUAGGGGAGGGAAUGUUCUGUAGUAGUGUAUGUGUAGGGGAGGGAAUGUUCUGUAGUAGUGUAUGUGUAGGGAACGUUCUGUAGUCGUGUAUGUGUAGGGAAUGUUCUGUAGUAGUCUAUGUGUAGGGGAGGGAAUGUUCUGUAGUAGUGUAUGUGUAGGGAAUGUUCUGUAGUAGUGUAUGUGUAGGGGAGGGAAUGUUCUGUAAUAGUGUAUGUGUAGGGGAGGGAAUGUUCUGUAGUAGUGUAUGUGUAGGGGAGGGAAUGUUCUGUAGUAGUGUAUGUGAAGGGGAGGGAAUGUUAUGUAGUAGUGUAUGUGUAGGGGAGGGAAUGUUCUGUAGUAGUGUAUGUGUAGGGGAGGGAAUGUUCUGUAGUAGUGUAUGUGUAGGGGAGGCAAUGUUCAGUAGUAGUGUAUGUGUUGGGAAGGGAAUGUUCUGUAGUAGUGUAUGUGUAGGGGAGGGAAUGUUCUGUAGUAGUGUAUGUGUAGGGAAUGUUCUGUAGUAGUGUAUGUGUAGGGGAGGGAAUGUUCUGUAGUAGUGUAUGUGUAGGGGAGGGAAUGUUCUGUAGUAGUGUAUGUGUAGGGGAGGGAAUGUUCUGUACUAGUGUAUGUGUAGGGUAGGGAAUGUUCUGUAAUAGUGUAUGUGUAGGGGAGGGAAUGUUCUGUAGUAGUGUAUGUGUAGGGUAGGGAAUGUUCUGUAGUAGUGUAUGUGUAGGGGAGGGAAUGUUCUGUAGUAGUGUAUGUGUAGGGGAGGGAAUGUACUGUAGUAGUGUAUGUGUAGGGGAGGGAAUGUUCUGUAGUAGUGUAUGUGUAGUGGAGGGAAUGUUCUGUAGUAGUGUAUUUGGAGGGGAGGGAAUGUUCUGUAGUAUUGUAUGUGUAGGGGAGGGAAUGUUCUGUAGUAGUGUAUGUGUAGGGGAGGGAAUGUUCAGUAGUAGUGUAUGUGUUGGGGAGGUAAUGUUCUGUAGUAGUGUAUGUGUAGGGGAGGGAAUGUUCUGUAGUAGUGUAUGUGUAGGGGAGGGAAUGUUCUGUAGUAGUGUAUGUGGAGGGGAUGUUCUGUAGUAGUGUAUGUGUAGGGGAGGGAAUGUUCUGUAGUAGUGUAUGUGUAGGGGAGGGAAUGUUCUGUAGUAGUGUAUGUGUAGGGGAGGGAAUGUUCUGUAGUAGUGUAUGUGUAGGGGAGGGAAUGUUCUGUAGUAGUGUAUGUGUAUGUGUAGGGAAUCUUCUGUAGUAGUGUAUGUGUAGGGGAGGGAAUGUUCUGUAGUAGUGUAUGUAUAGGGAAUGUUCUGUAGUAGUGUAUGUGUAGGGAAUGUUCUGUAGUAGUGUAUGUGUAGGGGAGGGAAUGUUCUGUAGUAGUGUAUGUGUAGGGAAUGUUCUGUAGUAGUGUAUAUCUAGGGAAUGUUCUGUAGUAGUGUAUGUGUAGGGGAGAGAAUGUUCUGUAGUAGUGUAUGUGUAGGGGGGGAAUGUUCUGUAGUAGUGUAUGUGUAGGG
rnacentral:lncRNA from 1 species